rnacentral:lncRNA from 1 species
GUCCGAUUCAUCUAAAAAUUUCAGAGCAGAUAAAUGUUGACCUGAUAAACAAUUUUACCCCAUGUCAGAUUUGCUCUAAAUGCUUUGGGUUUUGAAGUAUAAGCCAAAAACUGCAUUUUACCCCAUGUUCUAUUUUUAGCCAUGGUGGCCAUCUUGGUUGGAUGGCCGGGUCACCGGACACAUUUUUCAAACUACUAACCGAAAAGAUGAUUGUGGCCUAGUUUGGAUUAAUUUGGCCAAGUAGUUUCAGAGGAGAAGAUUUUUGUAAAAGAUAACUAAGAUUUACGAAAAAUGGUUAAAUAUU